GACUGACUGACUAACCAUUUGUCUAUUGCCUUUUCGAUCUUACUGACGAGGAGCAAAUUUAAAGUCAAAGGUAAAACUUAAGUCGACGAUUUUCCUCAAUAAUAAAACAAAAUAUUUUGUUUUCUAAGAAAAAAACUGUGCAAAGAGAAAAUCUUGAUAUAUUUAACUCGUUAUAGGAAUUGAGUCCUUUAACUAAUCAAAGUGAGUGUGAUAUGGCUGUCUAAAAGAGUGUGAUGUCUUGCCAUUCGGUGAAUUUCAGAACGAAUAUUGGGCUCUUCUUGAGUCAAAGGGUCGGAUUAACAUCAAUUUAAUGUGAUUUCAUUGUUUGAAGGAACACAACAACCACUUUUCAAUGUCUUUUACCAACCACUUUUGAUUUUAAAGAAAUCGAUGAUCAUCUGAGUGGAUGCUUCAUGCAAGUCAGCUAAUACACACUGUGCAAGGUGCGUCACUUUGUAGGCAGACUGAGAGUGAAGACUGUUCUUGCGCAUGGUUGAGGAGAGCUGCUGCUGGUAAGCCGUAGUGUUUAGCGGUGGAAGACCCUUGAGUCUCCGAUCCUGAUAUGGAAGUUGAAAUUGUCAAGACAUGGAAACCAUUUUUACAAAAGAGCUGGACUAACGGGAUUAUCAAGUAAGGUUUCAGUCCUAUUGAGAACUUGGUAUAAGGAACCAGUAGUGUGAGAUGGCCUAAAACACAGGAAUCAUUAUACAAGUGUUGAUUACUGGCAACUUUGAUUGAGGCUGGCUUAAAUGGUACUCAACGCAAUAACGUUCCUGAGGUGGAAAUACCCUGGGAGGUAACAGACUACCGUUUUCAACCCCAAGGAGUAUAUGUGAAAACUUUAACAUCUCCCGACCGAGAGAGGGGAGACCUGUCCGUCCACGAUGUGAUGCUUGAGUAAGAGUAUCGUAUAUCUUACCGAGUACGUCAAUGUUCUGGAUGUCAGACUGGCCAAAAAUUGUGACGAUACAACCAGAAAGUCGAUGGUCCUUCGCCCAUGACGGUGGAGUGCGGAGGAUCUGGAACAUCGUCUCGACCGAAGACAAUUGGCGCGUACAGAAGUAUUGACCAGCAUGACCAAAAGCAACACAAGACAAGAAAAAGAAAAGAGUUUUAUUGGAUGACCUGAAAAUAUUUCAAAAAUAUUUUUUUAAAUACAAACCAAAUUAAUUUCGCUAAUUAAAAGUUUUAUCUACAAAAUACCAAGCUCAGUAAGGAUUUCUGGUUUCUAAGUAUCUGCUUAAACACAUAUCAAUUUGAGCUCAUCAUACCUUUUGAUGGAGCACAAAUUAAACAUUUCAUCAAAAUAAACAGACAACCAAACGAAUAAUAAAUUUAUAAUUAUCAUGAUAAUUUAAUCAGGACUUUUUUGCGUACCUGCCAUGAGCCUUCUACUUCUCUAUUUCUCAGUUUGUAAAUUUUCGUUAACUCAGCUUUGACAAUUGUAUAUUUGAGGUAAAUAGUCCAAGUUUCCAUCCUUAUAUACUCAGUUCAAUCUUCCGGGGUAAGGUAGAUUCAGGACUUUUUAUUCUUGAACAACAGGGAGUAGAAGACAUAAUACGAAAAAGAGUUUUGGCCAAUACCUAUCUUAUUUUAGAUUUUUAUUCUUCCCCCACCAAGCAGGAGACAGCAACUUUUAGGUAAUAUAUUCAAGAGGAAUAUAUCGAAGGAAUAUUUCUUUUAUUUUCGGAAGGAUUGCCUUUGUCGUUCUUACCUCACUGGCCUAAAAAUACUAGAAAUCUCCAAUGUAGCUUAAUCUUACCAUAAUGAAAUAUCUCCUACUGUUCUGAGCCACUUCCACUAAAGGGGAUUCAAGCGGCGUGGUUCGGGUUAUGUUAAUCUCAGCGAUACAACAAUAAGUGUUGCUUGUGUGACUCUCUGCUUUUCAAAAUCCUGGUUUACAGGACUCUGACUGUGGAACUAGAUUGAGUUUUUAAGUUCUAACCAAGAGGAGUCAAAUGAGAUUGUUUACAUCAAUUGUUGAAUAAUUUCACUUUCCAUGUUCUUAGUCACAUCUAAAUUUACUUUCUUGGCAUUAUUCAAGGUAUAUAAAAUACUUCUGUGCUAAAAUUUAACACAGUUUCAAGAUGUUUCAUCCUUCAAAUUUCCCUACAGCACUUAUGUUUUUAUCUGUUUGCAUAAGUCGCCUUAGAAAACCAACAAUUUUGCAUAAGCACUUACGAGAUUCUUUGAGAACCACUGAUUGACGAAGUCGAUGACCAUACGUGCUAUUCGCUAGUUACACGAUCGACACAUUAGCUAGCUAUAAGGAGACUAUAGUAAUAGACUGCAGUAGACCAGCUGCCGUAGACCAGUUAAAAAUAUAGUCUAUUUUAACUCCUGCGAUCUAUUGAAGGAAAAUUUCGUGCUUGGGAAAUAAAAUCCAAAUCAGGUUAAGGGAAUUAAAUGUAUGACAAGCAAAUAGAUCGCCGCUGGAUCGGUUCAGUCAAAGCAUGGAUGGCAGCAGUGGAUGGUACAACUGAGGGAUUCGAUAUUGAAAGAUUAAUUCCUUCCUUUGAUCUGAUUUCAGGGAUAAAUGAGAUGAUUAGUCCGCCUUUAUGCUUGUAUCCAUUAUUUGGAGUAAACAGGAGACUGUCAUAAACAAUAGAAAAGACUUCUGUUGUAAGAAAAUUC
rnacentral:lncRNA from 1 species